GAUGAACGCUAGCGGCAGGCCUAACACAUGCAAGUCGAGGGGUAGAAUUAGCUUGCUAAUUUGAGACCGGCGCACGGGUGCGUAACGCGUAUGCAAUCUACCUUGUACAGGGGGAUAGCCCAGAGAAAUUCGGACUAAUAUCCCAUGGAAAUAUUGAGAGGCAUCUUUUGAUAUUUAAAGUUCCGGCGGUACGGGAUGGGCAUGCGUAACAUUAGCUAGUUGGUAAGGUAACGGCUUACCAAGGCUUUGAUGUUUAGGGGUCCUGAGAGGGUGAUCCCCCACACUGGUACUGAGACACGGACCAGACUCCUACGGGAGGCAGCAGUGAGGAAUAUUGGUCAAUGGGCGCAAGCCUGAACCAGCCAUCCCGCGUGCAGGAAGACGGCGCUAUGCGUUGUAAACUGCUUUUCCAGGGGAGAAACUUGCGUACGUGAUACGCAAUUGACGGUACCCUGGGAAUAAGCAUCGGCUAACUCCGUGCCAGCAGCCGCGGUAAACUGU
rnacentral:rRNA from 1 species